GAAGGCAUUUCCUGACUUUCCACUAGCCCAGCCACACCCUCACGGACAGAGUCCUCCUCAAGCCCCUCCUCAUAAAUGACGGGAGAUUCAACAUGAGUAUAAAUGAAGCCCUAAUCCUCCAGGUGGUUCUGUUUUUGUCUGCUGGGUCAAGUUCUACUUCUGUCAAAUUUUCUCAGGAGUCCUGCUGCCUGAAAGCCACAGAAACAGAAAUGAGAGUUAAAAUGUUCAGAACUGUCCAAGCUCAAGAAGAUGAAAACCAAAAACACAGCACUUGAGUUAAAGGAAAAGCAGUUACCAAAAGAGGAGGGAUGUGAUAAGUUUCCUUUGAAGGUGGGAAAUUACAUUUUGAAGGCAAAAGUUAAUUUAAUGCAAGUUCUUCUACCCCACACACACAAAAAAAGCCUGAGGUGAUCUCAUAUUUAAUAAAAUUAAUUAAAUUUUCCCAAAGGUUAAUUUAUAGACAUUUAUUGGAUUACACAGAGAAUUUCACAGGGGAAUAAUUAAAAGACUAUGUUUCAACUGUUUUCAAUUUUAUCCCAGAUAUUGGACUAGACAAGAGAACAUGCCUCAAAGAAGAAUACGUCACUCCAGAAAAAACUAUUAAUAUCAAAUCUUUCUGGAAAAGGUGAACAACACUGGCAAAGCAAUCUCAUUUCCAGAGAGAAUGGCCCAACAGGAAGCCAG